CAGUCGCCGCGGUAAUACGAAGGGGGCUAGCGUUGUUCGGAAUUACUGGGCGUAAAGCGCACGUAGGCGGAUUUUUAAGUCAGGGGUGAAAUCCCGAGGCUCAACCUCGGAACUGCCUUUGAUACUGGAGAUCUUGAGUUCGGAAGAGGUUGGUGGAACAGCUAGUGUAGAGGUGAAAUUCGUAGAUAUUAGCUAGAACACCAGUGGCGAAGGCGGCCAACUGGUCCGAUACUGACGCUGAGGUGCGAAAGCGUGGGGAGCAAACAGGAUUAGAUACCCGCGUAGUCCCUGUCUCUUAUAA
rnacentral:rRNA from 1 species